AACGAACGCUGGCGGCGUGCCUAACACAUGCAAGUCGAACGAGAAAGGGGCUUCGGCUCCGAGUAAAGUGGCGCACGGGUGAGUAACACGUGGGUAACCUGCCUCUAAGAUUGGGAUAACUCGUCGAAAGAUGAGCUAAUACCGAAUAAGACCACAGUUCCCGCGGGAACAGGGGUCAAAGGUAGCCUCUGCUUGCAAGCUAUCACUUGGAGAUGGGCCUGCGCACCAUUAGCUAGUUGGUAGGGUAACGGCCUACCAAGGCAAAGAUGGUUAGCUGGUCUGAGAGGAUGAUCAGCCACACUGGAACUGAGACACGGUCCAGACUCCUACGGGAGGCAGCAGUGGGGAAUAUUGCGCAAUGGGCGAAAGCCUGACGCAGCAACGCCGCGUGAGUGAUGAAGGUCUUCGGAUCGUAAAACUCUGUUAUUAGGGAAGAACAUAUGUGUAAGUAACUGUGCACAUCUUGACGGUACCUAAUCAGAAAGCCACGGCUAACUACGUG
rnacentral:rRNA from 1 species